GCAUCGCGAUAAAAAUUCAGGAGGUCUUUCUUCGUGUCAAGAGCGUUCCGAGAGAAUAUGUAUAUAAACGUGCCUGGCUGCAAUGAAGCGUACGAAGCCCCUUUCACGCAGUAGUUAUGGCGAAGGCUCCGAGCUUCCGAAUUUUGCUAUUUUUGUCCGCAUUUGUUUUUCUUCAUUCAGCGAUGCAGAACGACGGCAAUUCACAGGUCAAUGCAUCUACCCCAACUCCACGUCCUCUUACACAGCCUCCUAGCUGCGUUGGCUGUAUGUCAGGUCUUGCAGCUCGUGUGAGAUCACAAAGUAACCAAAGACCACAGCAUGGUCCAGGACAACAACAUAGUUCACGACAGCAACCGGAUCCAGGACGGCAGUCUAGUCCAAGUCGACAACCUGUUCUACUACCUGGUCCAGGGCCUGCUCCAGGACCUCCCCUUCCAUCACCUCCCCAAGAUGCUCGUGCCUCACCUGGUGAUCAUCGCCCACUUGGCCCACUAGUGUUCAGGGACAUGUGGAGACGUGCAACGAUUGGUAAUCCUCGGAGAGACAGCGGCUGACUGGGCUGGUUCUGCUGGACAAUUUUCCAAUCAUGACGAGUGAAUCGAUCAGUUGAGCAAUAAAGCUUUCUGAAAUCUAAUAUUAAAA
rnacentral:lncRNA from 1 species